UACAGAGGGGGCAAGCGUUAUUCGGAAUUAUUGGGCGUAAAGGGCGCGUAGGCGGCCUGGCAAGUGGAAGGUGAAAUCCCUCGGCUUAACCGAGGAACUGCCUCCCAAACUGCUUGGCUUGAGACCAGGAGAGGUGAGUGGAAUUCCCAGUGUAGCGGUGAAAUGCGUAGAUAUUGGGAGGAACACCAGUGGCGAAGGCGGCUCACUGGACUGUUGCUGACGCUGAGGCGCGACAGCGUGGGGAGCAAACAGG
rnacentral:rRNA from 1 species